rnacentral:rRNA from 1 species
AAUGGCUUAGUGAGGCCCUCGGAUUGGGUUUCGGRAGCUGGCAACAGUUUCUGAUUUUCAAGAAGUKGGUCAAACUUGGUCAUUUAGAGGAAGUAAAAGUCGUAMCAAGG